UACCAAAUAUUCCCCCACACUUUGAAAAUGUUCCCGACCUGGGAAAGUUUUGGGGAAUUCAAAACAGUUGAUUCAUACCAUCACUCAGUUAGGCAAGUGCUGCAUAAUGCACAUUUGUUCAGACUAUAACCUCCAGCAUGUCUACCUUAGUCCAUUUAACAGAUCAGUUGGUCUAUUAACAGGAUUCUCCUAAAAAAUUCUUCACAAUGAGUGUAUUGUUCAACAUGUAAUGGUAUAUAGGUGUACAGGACAAUACAAUGCAGCCACAGAAACUGAAAGCAACACUGUGGUGUCUCUAAUCAGGAAAUGGGGAAUUCCCUGCUCCAGCACCACUCUAUAUAGUUUCGUAAACGGCCAAUUGUAUGGAUAUUGGUGGUUGGUUGACAAACUGUGACUUACAGUAUUCCUCAUUUGGACUACUGUACAUGUACUUGCUACAUCCUCUCAAGAUAUUCCAUCAUCAUAUCCACCUACUUGGAUUCUGACUAAGGACCAGUUGAGUUCAGCAGUGGUCCCUUUUGUGGCAAUCAGUGUGUCAGGCAAUCAACCCAGAAGAAAACCAUGAAGAAAUUCAACUUCAUGAGCAGAAAGAGUAAGCCAUUGGGGAGAGAGGACGUGAGUCCUCUGAUUAAGAACAGUACACUGCCUACAGAUGAAGAGGACCAAACCGGGAAUUUGGGGUAUGGGAAUCCCUACAUGGAGAAUGGCUUUAACAACCAUCAGGAGUUGGACAAUCAGGGGGGUCAGGAGAAGGGACAGUCGUUGCUCAGUGUACUUGCAAAAGCUUUGAGGGUCAGCCAUGCUGUCCCUCAAGAGAGACUUGAAGCUAAUUUGGAGGGGCCACCGGAAGAGAUUAUGUGCCAUGAGGCUCAGAAGAAGGACGAUACACACCCAGAAGUCUUGCACCAGAUGUACUUUCAUCUUAUUAAAGCGUCUGUGGACAAACACUUCCCCAAACUGCCAGCAAGGAUCACUGUGAAUAAGCUGGAGGGCUACCUGAUUAAGGUGCAAAUAACUGUGCAAGGGGAGCUUCUGAGGUUGGCACCCCUGCUCAAAGAGGCUCAGUUGCUGAAGCAUUUGAUUGCUUGCUAUCAUCAGCGUAUGUUUGACUGUCUACAGCAGAUCCUUCAGCAUGUCAACACAAAAAAAGAGGCCUUCACAGUUCUUGACUGGGUACUACACACAUACUUGAGUGAGGAGCUGCUAGGACACCCCGACAUCUGGGAUGAGGCUCUACAUGCAGUUGACCUUCUCCUUCUGACAGACUGGAUCCCACAAGCUGAGAAGAAACUCCUGGCCACUGUGCAGGAGGACACCUCCACAUCACUGAGGAGGAUCCUUCAGAAUGAGGAGUCAGGUAGAGAGGUGUGUGUCUCUGGAGAGGAGGCCUUUAUCAAACUGCAUCUGGAUGUCAUUCAGUGCAUCAAUGCUGUUCUCCAGAAAGCAAAGAUGAUGAGCCAAACUCUGAUGCGCAAGGUCCAAAUAGUCUGUUGGCAAGAGCUACAGGACUUCGUGGAAAGGUAUGUCAAUGCUGAAAAGAAGCACCUUCAGAAACAAGCAGGAAUGGGCACGUCAAGUACAAUGCACUUCUUUAAGACUUUCAACACCUGCAAUGAACUCGAGUUGUAUAUUUCAAGGAUUGCCAAAGAUGACACAAGCUUAGACUGUGUUAAAACCAUUUCAACACUUAAGGGGUUGGAAGCUCUUUCUUGGAAGCUUCUUCUGGAAAAACCAUUUCAACUUGCACAGAUUUCCUUGAAGAAGUAUUUCAAAAGAGAGGAUGAACAAAUGGAAAAUCUAAUGAAAGAGAUUACAUUUAUUUUCCAAGACCUUCCCAAAGACAAGGACACACAAAAGACUGUGAUUAACAAAGCCUAUCAGUCCAUCACCCUUCUGUACCUUCAACACCUGGUGCAGAGUAACCAUGGGAAGCUGGUGAAGAGAUGGGAUUAUGUGAACAAAAGAGUGAUGCAUGAUGCCGAGCUCCUUCACUCCAUCUUCUCAGGCCUGAAUCCUGAUGUUAAACAGUGGCACAUCAUACUGAUUAAAGUGAGAGAAGUGCUGGAGUGCAGCGACAUUGAACGUCUCAAGAUAACAGUCAGUGAGAUACUGAGGGACUACGGCAGUACAAGUGCUGCUGAGCACCUUCCAGCCCUGCUGCGCUGGAAGGGAGGCCUGUCAUGGAGACUGACCCGGGAGGUUCUGGAGGCAAGCCAGGAAGUGUACCCCAUUGACCUCUCCCAAACCAGGUCUGCACCCUGGUUUGGCUGCCUUUUUUGCUGCUGAGUGUGGGAACUGGGACGUCUCAGGCAAAGGACAAUAACGACCCCACUCUAACAACCUGACCCUCAAGUUCUCAACCAACAACACAAUAUUUGGAACUAUGUUUACAUGUCUUUGUCAACUUUUUAAAGGUAUUCUAUGGCAAGUUAUUAUUUAAUGUCUUAAAGAAAAAUAAUAAUAAUACAUAUCUGAAAUUGGAAUUAAAACUGCCUAAUGUUUUUCAUUUUGAGGUCAAGUGAUUUUUAUUCCUCAUCAAAAAUGCCUCAUGGAAAGACUUAAUAUGUAGUGAGUAGUGCCCUGUAGAUGGAGACAAAGGCAGUAAGGCUAUCAGUGAUUGUGCUUCCCCUGAGAAAGGAAAUCCCCUGAAAGUCUUCUGGGCUUGUGAGAGUAGUACUCGAAUAUUGGAAAUUCCAAAAUGUACAGUAAUUCACAACACAUACAGUAAUCAGUAAGUCAAUUUGAAUGCAUUUUGGAUGGCUCCAUUGGGGAGGUAGGAUGGUAUUUAGCUUAUCUUUUUCAAUGGACAGUAUUCCGUUUCCCUUUAUAUCAUUAUCACAAACUAUUAUCAAAUCACUGACAGUCUUCCAGUGGUGAUAAAGACAUUAACCUGGAAGAACUGGCAGCCUGAUUCACUUGAAACAUCUAUCCUGUUAACAACAAGGCUGUUAAUGUGG
rnacentral:lncRNA from 8 species